rnacentral:lncRNA from 1 species
GCAAAUGGAUGUAUGCAUGUGUAUAUUCAUAAACUCAUGUUUCAGGGUCCAAAAUCCCUCACCUUUCCUUAUGUAUACAGAGAAAAUGUGAGCUUUGUUAUUUUGUCUAUAGAAGAGCUGAUUUACUUUCUUCUUGCUGGGAUGUGGGAAAAGAACUAAAGCUUAGUUCCAUCUUGCCAUUUCAGUCCAAUCCAAUAGUUUUAACUGUCCCAUCAGAUAAUUCAGUUUUCUCUGCUUUGAUAACUUCAGGAAAUGUAAUAUCUUUCAAAGUUCUGUCCCUUCCCUUCAAGGUGGUAUCCGGGUACAUGGGAGACGCAUGUGGCUAUUUGUCUUUGUGGCAUUGUAGAACACUGUCUCAUGGGUUGGCUGGUGAAGUGGAGCUGGUACUCAACAGGGAGGAAAUACCUUCCAAUGCCCUGCUUUCUGCCAUCUGGCAAGGGCUUGGUGGUGCAAGUUUGAGUUGUAGCAAGAAGGUGGCCAUCUGCAAACCAGAGCUAGUGCCCUCACCAGGAAACUUUUCAGCUGGCACCUUGAUGUUGGAUUUCCCAGAAUCUGGUAAGUAGCAGGUGGUUCAGGCUUGUGUAGCUCCUGAGGCACCAAUACUUCCAGUUGCAUUCAAAAGGGUGCUGUAGGUGUUUGGAAAGCUCUCCAUUGAAACGUCCAAGCUUCCAGCAAGGACCCGCUGAUUUAUUAUAGACACAGCAAUGAAUACAUACAAGGCGGCUGAGGCAGGCACUCAGGGAGAUGAUGGGAGGUAAGUUUCUUCUGUUGGCAGGACAGCUGAAGAGGCAGCUACAUGCCCCAGAUGCCUGCUGCCAGGGACC